AGAGCAACUGACUCUUAAUCAGUAGGUUCGGGGUUCGAUUCCCUGUGGGCGCA
rnacentral:tRNA from 1 species